GAAAACAAACUGCUCGAAGUCAGAAGAGCCAACAGCAGGAUUUUCACCAAGUUUCCAGUUUUGGAGUAAGAAGCACGCCUGAAGACAGCCAACCUGGAGACAGCCUGCGUGCACCCCAGCGGAGCUUCCCCAGUUACCAUUCCCCUCUGCUACUGCUCAUCUUCUCAUCACUCUUAUUUGUCCCUACUCUAGAAAAGAAAAUAAGAAGGAAUUUUGAAUAAUGCAUGCUCUGUGUUCAUCAGUGUUCAUUAACGUAACAAGCACAUAACUAAAAAUACAAUAAUAGGGCUUAUCACGGAAAGCAAGGGUGGCCUGGCU
rnacentral:lncRNA from 10 species